rnacentral:rRNA from 1 species
GGUUGAUCCUGCCAGUAGUCAUAUGCUUGUCUCAAAGAUUAAGCCAUGCAUGUCUAAGUAUAAACUAUUUAUACGGUGAAACUGCGAAUGGCUCAAUAAAUCAGUAAUAGUUUAUUUGAUAGUACCUACUACUUGGAUAACUGUAGUAAUUCUAGAGCUAAUACAUGCAAAAAAUCCUGACUAGUUUCUUCUGGAAGGGAUGUAUUUAUUAGAUGAGAAACCAAUACAGAGGCAACUCUGGUCUACAUUGGUGAAUCAUAAUAACUUUGCGGAUCGUAUAGCCUUGUGCUGA